GCGCGAUUAGCUCAGGGGUAAAGCACAUGCUUCACACGCAUGGGGUCGCUGGUUCAAAUCCAGCAUCGCGCACCA
rnacentral:tRNA from 1 species